rnacentral:rRNA from 1 species
GAUUCUGGCUCAGAACGAACGCUGGCGGCAUGGAUUAGGCAUGCAAGUCGAACGAGGUAGCAAGUACCGAGUGGCGGAAGGGUGAGGAACGCGUGAGCAAUCUGCCCUCCAGUUGGGAAUAACAGUUGGAAACGACUGCUAAUACCGAAUGUGGCUCGUUGGUCGCAUGACUGACGGGCUAAAGAUUUAUCGCUGGAGGAUGAGCUCGCGUCCCAUUAGCUAGUUGGUGAGGUAACGGCCCACCAAGGCGACGAUGGGUAGCUGGUCUGAGAGGACUGGUCAGCCACACUGGGACUGAGACACUGCCCAGACUCCUACGGGAGGCUGCAGUCGAGAAUCUUGGGCAAUGCGCGAAAGCGUGACCCAGCCAAUGCCGCGUGCGGGAUGAAGGUUCUUCGGAUUGUAAACCGCUGUCAACCGGGACGAACACUAAUGACUGUACCGGUGAAGGAAGCCACGGCUAACUACGUGCCAGCCGCAGC